CCUACGGGAGGCAGCAGUGAGGAAUAUUGGUCAAUGGACGAGAGUCUGAACCAGCCAAGCCGCGUGAAGGAUGAAUGCUCUAUGGGUUGUAAACUUCUUUUGUAUGGGAAUAAAAUGUUCCACGUGUGGGAUGUUGUAUGUACCAGAUGAAUAAGGAUCGGCUAACUCCGUGCCAGCAGCCGCGGUAAUACGGAGGGUCCGAGCGUUAUCCGGAUUUAUUGGGUUUAAAGGGAGCGUAGGUGGAUUGUUAAGUCAGUUGUGAAAGUUUGCGGCUCAACCGUAAGAUUGCAGUUGAAACUGGCAGUCUUGAGUACAGGAGAGGUGAGCGGAAUUCGUGGUGUAGCGGUGAAAUGCUUAGAUAUCACGAAGAACUCCGAUUGCGAAGGCAGCUCACUGGACUGCAACUGACGCUGAGGCUCGAAAGUGUGGGUAUCAAACAGGAUUAGAUACCCGUGUAGUC
rnacentral:rRNA from 1 species